GAUGAACGCUGGCGGCGUGCCUAAUACAUGCAAGUCGAGCGAACAGAUAAGGAGCUUGCUCCUUUGACGUUAGCGGCGGACGGGUGAGUAACACGUGGGUAACCUACCUAUAAGACUGGGAUAACUUCGGGAAACCGGAGCUAAUACCGGAUAACAUUUGGAACCGCAUGGUUCUAAAGUGAAAGAUGGUUUUGCUAUCACUUAUAGAUGGACCCGCGCCGUAUUAGCUAGUUGGUAAGGUAACGGCUUACCAAGGCAACGAUACGUAGCCGACCUGAGAGGGUGAUCGGCCACACUGGAACUGAGACACGGUCCAGACUCCUACGGGAGGCAGCAGUAGGGAAUCUUCCGCAAUGGGCGAAAGCCUGACGGAGCAACGCCGCGUGAGGGAUGAAGGGUUUCGGCUCGUAAAACUCUGUUAUUAGGGAAGAACAAACGUGUAAGUAACUGUGCACGUCUUGACGGUACCUAAUCAGAAAGCCACGGCUAACUACGUG
rnacentral:rRNA from 1 species